rnacentral:lncRNA from 1 species
GUCCUAACCUAUGAAGCAGUUGUGUGCGUCACAGAAAUAGGUGACUUUAAAAGAGUGAAGAAACUCUUAUCUUUCAAUGUCGGUUAUUUGGAUGAGAAGGAUGUAUUUUGGAUUGUAAUUGUUGAUACUAAAGCGUCUUGUGUGCAAGACGUGGCAAAGUUUGCUGUGGCAAAGCAUAAUGAAGACGAACAUGAUAGUCUUGUCUACCUUUCUAUCACUAAAGGUUGGUAUCGAGAACUUGACCCGUAUAAUGCUAUAUUCUUCGAAAUUCAUCUUACGACGAAGGAUUGUUUUGGACGAGUGCGUGAGUUUAAGGCUUUGGUUCUAGAAGACAAACCUCAAAAGGAGAAAAUCCGAACACUCAAAUAUUUCGAAGUUAUAAAGAAAUGUUGAAAACUUGCUAUCUAUAUGUAAGUGAGAGUGGUUAUGUUAUGUGUUAUGUCUAUGUUCUUGACUAUAUAUCCAUAAAUGAAUAGUCAAGUUUAAACUAAAUAAAACGUUUUAAAUUAUAUGUCACUCUUUAUGCCAAAUUUUAUUAAGGAAGUUGUUUAUAUUAUAACCUAUUAGUUAUUGGGAAUUUAUACGAGAUAUAAAUAAAGUCACUUCAUUAAAAUGAAAAUGUAAUAGAUCGAUGGUAAUAAGAAAUGUGUGGGGUGCCAUUUGAUUGCUUUUAGCAUUGUUUACUUAUGUUCUAUGAUCGUAUUGACACAUGAGGUCACUUCCAACUUAUAAUCAACAAAUGCAAAUUGAUUCACAAAUUAAAGGCAUUCAGUUCAAUUGCACCUAGUAAUUAAGUUGUAUAUUUGUUACUGUGUUUCGGUUACAACUACCAUUAUUGUUAUUGUUUCAGCUGAAAAAUUAUCAAUUUGACAUUUUAAUAUUGUCGUUAUUGUAAUCGCUUUGGAAACCUUAUCCUUUGAAUUCCUAAGUCGUAUAAGAAGUUAAGUAGAGGUUGUUGUUGAUGUGUUGUGUUGUUAACGUAGCUUAAUUGAAGGAUUAAAGGCUUGUUUGAAAUUCAACUAAGUGUUUGGGAGCUAGGGUAACCAACUUAGGUGUUAUGAGAACCUUCAAGAGUAUGAUGACCAAUAGUAGUUUAAGUGGCCAAGUAGAAGAGCCCUGGUGUGAAACUCCGAUCUGCAAAACAACAAGAAUGCAGGAAGUAGUGUAGAUAGGACACAAUUUAGCUUAAAACCUUGCAAUUGAUCUUAUCACCUAACUCAAACUCAACCCCUUUUAAACUACCAAGUGAAAAACAUAACGUAAUGGAAGUCAACAUAAACGUCAAGUACAAUAAUUAACAUAACCAAAACUUACGCUUAUUUAGAAUGAUUUUGACCACAUGGUUAUAUUGGUACAAUAUGUAGUUUAUUGAAAAUGGACUUGAAGGAGAUGCUGAUUCUGGCGGUGAAGAAGAUGAACCGGAGGACACUGAUGGUGUGAAAGUGGAACAUCUCUACACAUUUCAGAUUAUCAAGGUUUUGCACUAAUAACCGAUUGAUUUACUAUAGUGAUGAAGCUACCAAGCAAGUGAUUGAUGUUUGAUUCGUGACAAGACUUGUUGCAAUUUAGUUAUCUAUGACAAUACAUUGCAUUUAGUUUCUUUGUAAAAAUAUAUUACCAAUGUUUAGUUUCUAUUUCACUUGUAUUUAUCCCUUUGGGAAAAUUCGAUAGAUUUAGUGUACUUAGUUUUUUUGUAAAUAUGUUAUCUAUGUUAUUUUUAUAUAUGAAAGUUCUUAUUUAUAUGUGUACUAGUUUUGUGUUAAAAUGGAAUCAUUGGAUAACAGGAAAAAAAUCUAAUUGAAUUACAAUUUUUUUUAUAAAAAAAAUUCAUAACAUAUUUGACGGUUAUAAAAUGUCAUAAACAAGUCCAUCCUUGACGGUUUUUCAAUGUCAUAAACAAUCAAUUUCUUGACGGUUAUUAAAUGUCAUGAAUACUUAUACUCUUGACGAUUUUAAGUUGUCAUAAACAUUCACACUCUUGACGGUUUUUACCUGUCAUGAACAUUUGUAUACUUGACAUUUAUAAAACGUCAACGUUCAAUAUUCUUGACGUUUUUAUCAACCGAUAAGAACUUUGGCUUUCUUGACACUGGCUUCAAGGACGGUUAUAUUAAUUUGAUUCAUGAUAAAAUUAUUGGUUAUGAGAGAAAUUUGUAUUUGAAUAUGAUUCAAAUUUAACUUAUCUUAAAUAUAAGAUAUUUAAUUUAGUUGUUAAUUAAUUAGAGAAUUAGUUAAUAGUUUAUUUUAAUAUUAUUUAAUUAAAUUAAUAUAAAACUAUAAGAUAUUAUUGAAAGAUAUUCAUUAAAUAAGAUUUAAAUAAAAUAUUAAUUAAAUAUGAUUUAAUUAAUUAUUAACUAAUUGAUUACUUGUUAAUUAAUUAGUUGAUUUGAAAUUUAUGCUAAUUUAAUAUUUUUUAAAUUAAUAGAAUCUCAUGAUUCUCUUCGACUCUCUUUCCUUAGAUACAAUUUUCUUUAACAAUUCAAUCAACCAAAAUAAAACUAAUAAUUUUGUUUUUCCACAAAAGAGUUUCUCUAAAAAAAUCUCCAAACUUUUUUCCAUCCGAAUUGGUUCCCCACAAACCAAUCUCAUCUCAAAAAAUACGGAGGUGUCCGAAACCAAUCUCAUCUCAAAAAAUAGGGAGGUGUCCGAUGGGUGAUGUCCCAAUUUUGUGAUUUAUUUUGUAGAUUCAGAGAUGUUAACACAAGUAAGUUUUUCUUUCUCUAAUCUAUAAUUAGAAAACAUGCUUAGCCGUUAAGUCUUAAUAAGAAAAUUUGUUUUUAUUGUAUUUUGUCAUUCUACUAGUAUUUUGGGAUUUCCAAAUUAAAUUGAGAAAUGAUUCUAAAAUCUUUCACUGCCAAUGACUUUUAUCCCUUCAACGAUGGCCUGAGAAACAAUCUCUAAAUUUUCUGUCUUUCAUCCUACCCAGCAAGCAUCAAGAUGCUCAUGCCUUUGUUCUGGGCCUAAUCUUUGUUUUCCAUCUCCCCGAAGAUUACUCAACUUAGUAAGAAAAUAGGAUAGAAGAUACAGCUAUUACAUUCUUCCGCUCUUUGCUUACUUUGCUUGCUUAGCUUUUCUUAGAUCACAAAUGAGGAUCAUGCCUCUUAUUUAUAGGCAUAAAAUCCUUGGAGCCUAAUGUGUCACACUUCAUCCCGAACAUAUCCUAACAAAGCGAUACACAGUGUGACUUGAGUAUUCAUGACUUGUUUAAACAAAAGAAACCUCAACCUAGGUUCUUAAGCUUAGCUCAAAUGCCUGAUCACUGAGCACUUACACUUAUUUUCACAUUUGUAAGUGAUAUUAUAACAUUAUAACACAACGAAUAAGAGAUAAAAAAACAACUCCAUUUCAUUAACUUUCAAUUAUGUGAUCUACAUUACACUUUACAUACAUUGAAGCACAUGUAUAAAACUUAAUUUAAAUGCUCUAGGAUAGCCUUCUGGCCUAGUUAGCCUCUUAAGCCCUUCUUACUCUAAGAUGAACGCCUAAUCACCUGGGAAGUGGAAAAUCUUAAAACAUAAGUCAAAAGACUUAGUGAAUGAAGUUUUAAAAAAACCUUUUCGAAACAUGUUACAUAAAUCAUAACUAUUUCAAUCGUAUAAUACAUAAUACACAUUAGUCUUGUGUCUCUUUCGUCGGAAACAUGAACCAUUCCCUAAGUUAAGACCCAGCAUCUUAAUUCAUUCAUCAUUGCUCAGGUCGCCUAACACAAUACACAUCUUUUAUACAUUGGCUAGCUUCACUCUAUCCGUAGUCCCUUUUUACAUCACUGCAUUACUUCUUAUGUGCACAUAGUUAGCUCUUUGAUAGGAUUAAAACUAAUGCUUUGAAAAUAUUCUUUCACAUUCGUUGAAACACAAAACAUUGCUUUUAAAACAUAAGCUUUCAUUUAAAUUUAUUUAUAAGUACUCAUUACAAACAUGAAUUCAAAAGAAAGCUUUAAGUUUACAAACAUUUACAAAUAUCACUCACUCACAAAAUUCAGUUGCCUUAAAUCCAGAUUGCUUCUACACUUCUUCUUCUUGCGUAGUCCUUCAACAACAACUUCAACACUUAGUUUUUCUUUUUCAAACUUUUAGAAUAACUUCCUUCUUCUAAUUCCUUCCUCUAUUUAUAAUAAUCCUAAUUUCGAUUAGUCAUCCUUAAGGUUCCUAAAAUAUGGCCAGCUUCUACUUGCUUAAAGUAUUAUACGUGUAAGCUUAGUAUUUCACUCAAUCUUACUUAACUUCAGCUUAACACGUAACCCUUGUCAAAUCAAAUUGAUAUUUUCUCGCUUGCCUUUUCUCGCAAAGAACUCUACUCGCCUAACUGCCUUUUAAUCGCCAAAGUCCUUAUCAUGUUGCCUUCAUUACGGAAUAAGACUUAAACACCUAAACGUCAGUUUUCAAAAUAUAAACUUCUUCAAAAUGCCUUCUCUCAAUAUUUAGUAAAAAAUUUGACACUUCAAAUAUAAACUUGGGUCUCACACAAUGUAAAGCCAUGAUCCAAAGAAAAGGGGUUGUGUUAAAGAGGAGUUAUGUUAAAAAGAGACAUUUUGGCUAAGCGUAAAUAAUAAGCAAUCUGUGAUCAAGGAUGCCUUCAAGGAAAGGUGAUGCAAGGAGAGAUGCUUACAGUCACUGUUGCGUCGAAGCGAGGUGACGCGAUAUGAUUAGCUGGCGAGGAAGAAGCAUGCAUUUAAUGCAAAGAACUAGACAACAACACGGGAAUAAGUACCUAUGCCUAAAGUGUUGAUGCAAUGAAUUAAGUGUUUCAUUGAAAGGAUGGAUGUUCGUAUGAGGCGACUAGACGACUAUCUGAGGGAAAGUAAAUGUUCUAUUAUUUUUCAAGAAGGGAGUCAGAUGAAAAAGAAUUGAGCAUUCCAAAAAGAUAAGGUUAGCGUUUCAAGAGAAAUAUCUAAUUGCGAGUAACAAUUGGCAACGUGUUGAAAUUAUGUUGGUUGUAUAGCUUGAUGAGUUAUAGCUUGACACAUGUAAAGCGUGGAAAUGACCCAUGAGUUUGAAAGGUCGCUAUAAAUAGGACCAAAGAGGUCGGAAGAAAGAGGGGCAUAAGAUGCUAAACAUUAUGAUUAAUUGUUAAGAGAAAGUGUCGAGUGUUGAAAGGUCGAUUAAGGGAAUCACUAGGCAAGACGAGAAAGCCAAAAGUAAGAAAAGGAAAGAGUUUAGGCUAAGUAUUUCUGUGAGUGAUCCUUUUAAAUGAAAGAAAUAUUUUGUGAAUGAUUGCUCUUUUUAAUCUUAUGUUUGACGAUUAACAUUUGAUAAUGAUACUAAUGUGAUGUGAUGUGUUGUAUGUAAUGCUUUUGAGAUAAUGCUUCUUAUCUUAUUGGCUGUAAUGAUUGAAUGAUGUAUUGGUGGAAGUGAAUCCCAGGUCUAGGGCAAAUAAAUGUUGAUGAAAGUGAAUCCCAAGUCUGAGCGAGAAAUGAAUUUUGUUCUUCAUAGUUGGGUGCUGGUGAAAGUGAAUCGUAGAUCUAGGUGAGGUUGUAUCAUGAGACACUGGUGGAAGUGAAUUCCAGGUCUAGGGGAUGGUCUCAGGUUUGAGUGUAGAACGAUCAUUGUGAGACACUGGUAGAAAUUUCAAGUUUAUCACGAGACACUAGUGAAGUGAAUCCCAGGUUCAGGGGAUUGGAUGUGGAUUGAAGAAUCUCAGGUCCCGAUGAUAAAUGAUGAACAUGCUGAUGAAUGAAAUGUAUGGAAUUGCGUUCUUAAGAAUAAGAUUGUUAUUAUUGAAAAUGUUGUUUUCCCUAAAAAUGUAUUUUCUCUAAACUCAUCACUCACUAACUUUGUUACUUAUAUUUUAAGUUUUUCUUCCCCAGGUUGUCAGGCGUUGAAGCUAAGUAAAGAAUGGAUGUCAGGUGUAGAAGCCAAGUAAAGGAGGAAAGGUGGGAUGUUAUGUAAACUUGCACGGUGAGAAAGGUGGUCCUCUGUGUACAUGAAUCUUCGAUUAUUGUUUUCGUUUCACAAAUAUUCUUAGAAAGUAAUAUCGGUAUCAUUUUUCAUCCUUGUUUCUUGAAUUUAUUCUUUUAAGUUCCAAUACAAAGAUAUAUUGCCCCAAAAAAAAGGUAUAUAAAAGAUGAUGAAAUGUGAAUUACCUUUUUUUUAUCUUUAUUAUAAAGAAUUUGGUGGAUCUUUGAUUCAUAGGUAACGUCUCCAAACUACUUUACAAGUUAUGAAGAUCCUCCAUUUAUACUCCUGAUUUCAGAAUGCUCCCACUUGUAAAGUAGUUUGGAUACCUUCUGUGGAAAGCUUUUUAUGCUAUUGUCUAGGGUCUUUAGGGAGAAAAACAAUAGAAUUUUCAAAGGAGCCGAGAGACCUUUGUGUGAGGUGUGGUGUCUUGUGAGAUAUCAUGCCUUUUUUUUUUUGUGUUUUCGUUUAUAAGGAAAUUAUCUUGUAAAUACCUUACCACCACCACCUUCUUGAUUUAAGAUAUUUGCAUUGGUACAUACAUAUGUAACAGAGAAAAACAAUUGCAAUAAGUGAUCGUGGUUCUUAUUUUAAUUACACUUUUUCUUACUUUUAUAUUUUUAAAGACAAAAGAAAAGAAUAAAUGGAAUUUGUUGUUGCAUACUUGUUUUGUACCUUCUUUAAUUUUUUUUUUCUCCUUUUCAACUGUUGUCUUUAUCUUGAGUACUAAGAUAGAAAUAUGAAAUCGUGCUUCAAUUUAGAAGUACUUGAGCCUGUAUUAAUAGCAAAUUGUGGUGCAGCUGACCGUUGUUUUCAUGGUAAUGGUAAUUUCUAUGCAAGAGUUGUACACCAUUUUCUCAUUAGUAAAUGCUCAUGUUGUUAGAUUGUUAGAUUCUUUGUUAGGAAUUUGGAGUAAGGUAAAUGGCCCUAUUUAUUCUCUUUCUAUUGGGUUAAUGAUUCUUCACAUGAUUGAAUGGGUGACCUCUGGUUUGAUUAAUCUUCAUUCUUUUGAGAAAUUAGAUGUUGUUAGCCAUGCGACUUUAACGUCUUCAUAGGAAAGUUAUGCUUCAUUUUUGUUGUUGUAAUGUCUGCAGCUAGAAUAUUGAGGUCUUUUAAUACUUACAAAGGUUUAUUAAGUAUUUUUAACUACGUUUCUUUGAAACUUACCAACUAGUGUAACUAUGUUUUUUAAGCUUGUGGUCAUAUGUCGAUUUCUUAAUGUCAAUGAUAUUUUGUUGUUAUCCAAGAAGAGAACUCAAACCUUUUAUUUGAUAAUUUUGUUUGGUUUCUAGCAUUUUGUACUACUUUGCUAUUUAGUUAAUGGUUGAGAUUUUUUUAUACGCUAAAGUAAUUGUUUCACCAUGUGCUAACAACUUUUUUCUCAACGACAUUCCUUUAUGAAGUUUCCCUCCGUAAGAUGCAUGAAAAGUCCAAGAGUGAGGUAUUGUUUAGCUUGCCUAGUUUCACUUAUUGAGCAGGUAACAAGUUUUUUUUUUUUUUUAUGCCUUGACGAUUUUGAAUUAUUUUGCAUUGAAAUAAUUUUUUUUUCUAUUAACAUUUAUUUAGUUCAUCGUUGGAGAUGAUGAAUUUUCUUAUUGUCCCAAUCUUUUGGUCUCUUUUAUGUCCAAAAAUGAUCUUUUAUUCUCUUUCGACAUCUGUUUAAACUUACUUUCUAGUUUAUUCCUCUCUGAUGAUUUUCAUUUGUUGUUUGCUCCUUUUUUAUAGACAAGAUAUCUUCAUUUCCGAAACUGACCUGUCGAAUGGGGGUGGUGCCAGGAUCUCCAGUUUUUUAUAUUUGUAUUUGAGAGACAUAAAAUGUGAAUUUAGUAUCAUUUGCUUUUUUGUGAAUUGAUUAAUGAGAUAUUGAUGGUGUUGCAUUUGAGUGCACAAUUUACUAACUUGCUCCUUUGUCCACUAGCUCUUGGGUCAACCCAUAUAUUUUGUGUGUGCCAUUUUCACUGUUUUUUAUUAAUGGCUGAAAUUUCAUACUUUUUGCUUUUAGUGUACUUGUAAAUUGUUUCAAACUUGAUUGAAAAUGUUAUAAUUAAAGUUAUGGUUGUUGUUCUCUUUUGUUGUUUGUCAUUUCACUGUAUCUUAAUUAGCUUUAAAUAGAACACUCUUUAGUCAUACUCUAAAAUGAUAUUUUUUUUUCUUACUAGGUUUGGAAGAAUCCAUUGGAGCAGUGAAGCCAACAAGGAGAAAUGGAUUGAUAUAGGAUUUUUUAUAUGGUUGGUAGAAAAAUAUUGGUUCUAAUGUAUUGAUUUUAGGCUUGUUGGUAGCUAAAGAUGUCAAUGUUAUUUUUUUGUAUGUAAACUACCUUUUAACAAAAAAAAUGGUUAUUAGUCAAUGGGUGUACGAAUAUUACAAAGUGUAUUACAACAUUUAUAUAUAUUAAAGUGUCGACUUUUUGUUUCCUAUAUGGGUGUGAUGUAUUAAAACAUUAUUGUCAUUGAAAUGGUUAAUGUAAUGACAGAGCGGCAAGAAGAACAGAAAAAAAAAUUAGUAAUUAAGGAAUAUACGACAGGAAAAAAUGUCAUAAUAUACGAAUUUGUGACAUUUUCUAAUUGUUGUCAAUAUUAAAACAACGACAAUUUAAUUUUAUAAAAAACUGUCACGAUUGACCUAUCUUUGACAGAGAAAAAUGUCAUAAUAUACGAAUUCAUGACAUUUUGUAACUGUUGUCAAUAGCAAAACAAUUACAUUUGCUUUUAUAAAAAAAAAUUGUCACGAUUGGCAUAUCCUUGCAGAUAAAAAAUGUCAUAAUAAAUGAAUUUACGACAUUUUUUUAAUUGUUGUUAAUAUGCAAAUGAUGACAAUUAUUUAUUGUCAUAAAAUAAAAUAUGACAAUUAUUUGUUGUCAUAAAAUAAUAAUCAAUGAUAUUUAUUUUAUGUCAUGAAAAAACUUAUUGUGACAAUUUUUGAAUACUAUCAUGGAAUGACUUUCCACAACAGGCGAUACUAUGACUGUAAGUAACUGUCACGAAUUUUGUUUGCGACAGAAAAUAACUGUCAUCAUAGACCAUUUUUGUUGUAGUGGAUCGUGUCAUCCUGUUUCUUAUUUAAGGAGUUUGUAUGCCAAUUCGUAUACUCCCAAUUGUCGAGGACUGCAUCUCAAUUCUGAAGAGAAGUCGAGUGCAACAUCAUAGUUUUAAAGAAAUACCAAGGACAACAACUUACUUUUGUGUGGUCCAAGACGAUGAGUGGAAGAGCUGAGCCAAAGAUGAAGAGCCUAGAGCUAUCGUUUUAAGUCUUGUGAUUUUAAAAGUUUAAAUUCCAGUUGUACUUUGUUUAAUGAAUUGAGUUAAUAAAGAGAAGAAGUUGUGUCAUUCUGGUGCAUUAUUAUUUGUGCUUAUCAACUAAUAGUUAAAAGCUAUGUUCCAUUAAGUUAUUGGAGGCUAGACGAUAGUGCUAGCUGGUCUAAAAGUUAUCUUUUCACAGUUGCGAUAAGCUUUGAGUGUUUCUAAAGUUCAAAAUAAAAGUUUUUUGAUGAGACAAGUUUAGGAAGUUGUUCCACUCACUAGAUGUUCGAUAUGUCAUCUUGCGACGAGAUACACGAUGAGUGUCUAGGCCGGACGUCCCCAUCUAGUUUCAUGGAGUGGCAUUUAGGGCGAUGUUGAAGCCAAAGAUUUCUCUAAAAUUCUAACUAGUUUAGAUAUAUUUAAUCUCAUCGUAAUUAUCUUAAGGAAUUCAUUCAUUAACCUAAAAAGUUUAGAAUGUUUCUAUAUUUUUUCUUAGAUAUUUAUUUACAUCUUUUAACGUAAUUAUAGAGAGAUCUAAUAAUUUACAUACUAAUUAUAUAUUAUGGAUACUUGGAUACUGUUCUAGAAUAGUUAGUGUUGCUAUAUAGUGUAGUAUUAUUUACUUUAUUUUUUGAGUUUAAUGACAUUGUUGUCCUUGUUCUUAAUUAUUUUUUAUUUCCAUGGUUUUGGAAAUCAUUUGGAAUCUAGAAGUUGAUUAUUUUUCUGAUGCCUAAUAUAAUAUAUGCUAUUCUAAAAAAUUGUGAUUGCUUUUAUUGUUAAACAUAUACAACUCUAGCAUGCUAGAUUCUUUGGUCAAAAGGAGAACACUUGAAUACUUUGAUCAAAUUGAGAGAACUUCGCUGAGUAAUGGGUCAAGUGGAAUAUAUAAAAUUUGUAUCCCCAAGACAUGUAUUAGUUUAGGGUUUUACAAACAAAAACAACAAACUCUUAACCAAAGUUAACUAAUUUAGUUAGAUUUUAAGCUAUAUAACAAACCACUAACAAUAAU